rnacentral:rRNA from 1 species
AGAGUUUGAUCCUGGCUCAGGACUAACGCUGGCGGCGUGCCUAACACAUGCAAGUCGAACGAGGUAGCAAUACCUAGUGGCAGACGGGUGAGUAACACGUAGUCAACCUACCUUUUAGUGGGGGAUAACUAGCCGAAAGGUUAGCUAAUACCGCAUACGCUCUUCGGGUGGCAUCACUUGGAGAGGAAAGGAGCAAUCCG